UGGAAUAGAUUCUCCCUCAGAACCUCCUAAAAGAACCAACUCUGCAGACACCUGGAUUUCAGACUUUCUAGCUUCCAGAACUGGAAAGCCAACCACCACAUCAUGAGGACAUUCAAGUAACCCAAAGAGAAGCCCACCAAGGAAGAACUGAGACCUCUUGCCAAAAAUGAAUCGACUGCCAGGCAUGUGAAUGAGCCACCUUUGAAGCUGAUCCUGCAGCCCUAAGCAAGCCUUCACAUGGCAGCAUCCCUGGGGGCUUCCCUGGUGCCGCAGUGGUUGAGAAUCUGCCUGCCAAUGCAGGCGACACGGGUUCGAGCCCUGGUCUGGGAAGAUCCCACAUGCCGCGGAGCAGCUGGGCCCGUGAGCCACAACUACUGAGCCUGCGCGUCUGGAGCCUGUGCUCCGCAACGAGAGGCUGCGAUAAUGAGAGGCCCGCGCACCGCGAUGAAGAGUGGCCCCCACUUGCCGCAACUAGAGAAAGCCCUCGCACAGAAACGAAGACCCAACACAGCCAAAAAUAAAUAAAUUAAUUAAUUAAUUAAAAAAAAAUUCCCACAGA